rnacentral:rRNA from 1 species
UAUUAAAGUUGUUGCGGUUAAAAAGCUCGUAGUUGAAUCUGUGUCUCGCGCUGUCGGUUCACCGCCCGCGGUGUUAAACUGGCACGCCCGCGAGACGUCCUGCCGGUGGGACGGCUGGGACGUGGCUCCGGUCGCGUUCGACAGCGUCCCGACUUGAAAUCCUACCGCGGUGCUCUUGACUGAGUGUCGAGGUGGGCCGGCACGUUUACUUUGAACAAAUUAGAGUGCUCAAAGCAGGCUAAAACUUCGCCUGAAUACUGUGUGCAUGGAAUAAUGGAACAGGACCUCGGUUCUAUUUUGUUGGUUUUCGGAACCCCGAGGUAAUGAUUAAUAGGGACAGAUGGGGGCAUUCGUAUUGCGACGUUAGAGGUGAAAUUCUUGGACGUCGCAAGACGGACAGAAGCGAAAGCAUUUGCCAAAAAUGUUUUCAUUAAUCAAGAACGAAAGUCAGAGGUUCGAAGGCGAUCAGAUACCGCCCUAGUUCUGACCAUAAACGAUGCCAGCUAGCGAUCCGCCGACGUUCCUCCGAUGACUCGGCGGGCAGCUUCCGGGAAACCAAAGCUUUUGGGUUCCGGGGGAAGUAUGGUUGCAAAGCUGAAACUUAAAGGAAUUGACGGAAGGGCACCACCAGGAGUGGAGCCUGCGGCUUAAUUUGACUCAACACGGGAAAUCUCACCAGGCCCGGACACCGGAAGGAUUGACAGAUUGAGAGCUCUUUCUUGAUUCGGUGGGUGGUGGUGCAUGGCCGUUCUUAGUUGGUGGAGCGAUCUGUCUGGUUAAUUCCGAUAACGAACGAGACUCUAGCCUGCUAACUAGGCGUUACUUUCCGGCAUCUCGAAGGCUCGCGUCUCCCGUUCGCCGGUGCGGUUCGGUGUCGCGUUGCGGCGCUUCGGCGUUCGCGCGCGCCCGUGCCGCCCGGUCGGGUGUUCGCGGUUUUUACUGCCGGCGUACACAUGAAUCUUCUUAGAGGGACAGGCGGCUCCUAGCCGCACGAGAUUGAGCAAUAACAGGUCUGUGAUGCCCUUAGAUGUUCUGGGCCGCACGCGCGCUACACUGAAGGAAUCAGCGUGUCCUCCCUGGCCGAGCGGUCCGGGUAACCCGCUGAACCUCCUUCGUGCUAGGGAUUGGGGCUUGCAAUUGUUCCCCAUGAACGAGGAAUUCCCAGUAAGCGCGAGUCAUAAGCUCGCGUUGAUUACGUCCCUGCCCUUUGUACACACCGCCCGUCGCUACUACCGAUUGAAUGAUUUAGUGAGGUCUUCGGACCGGUACGCGGCGACGUUCCGACGUCGCCGACGUCGCUGGGAAGAUGACCAAACUUGAUCAUUA